rnacentral:rRNA from 1 species
GUAGGUGGCAAGCGUCGUCCGGAAUUAUUGGGCGUAAAGCGCGCGCAGGCGGUUCUUUAAGUCUGAUGUGAAAGCCCACGGCUCAACCGUGGAGGGUCAUUGGAAACUGGAGAACUUGAGUACAGAAGAGGAAAGCGGAAUUCCACGUGUAGCGGUGAAAUGCGUAGAGAUGUGGAGGAACACCAGUGGCGAAGGCGGCUUUCUGGACUGUAACUGACGCUGAGGCGCGAAAGCGUGGGGAGCAAACAGGGAUUAGAUACCCUGGUAGUCCACGCCGUAAACGAUGAGUGCUAAGCGUUAGGGGGUUUCCGCCCCCUUAGUGCUGCAGCUAACGCAUUAAGCACUCCGCCUGGGGAUACGGCCGCAAGGCUG